rnacentral:rRNA from 3 species
AAAUUGAAGAGUUUGAUCAUGGCUCAGAUUGAACGCUGGCGGCAGGCCUAACACAUGCAAGUCGAGCGGUAGCACAGAGAGCUUGCUCUCGGGUGACGAGCGGCGGACGGGUGAGUAAUGUCUGGGAAACUGCCUGAUGGAGGGGGAUAACUACUGGAAACGGUAGCUAAUACCGCAUAACGUCGCAAGACCAAAGUGGGGGACCUUCGGGCCUCAUGCCAUCAGAUGUGCCCAGAUGGGAUUAGCUGGUAGGUGGGGUAACGGCUCACCUAGGCGACGAUCCCUAGCUGGUCUGAGAGGAUGACCAGCCACACUGGAACUGAGACACGGUCCAGACUCCUACGGGAGGCAGCAGUGGGGAAUAUUGCACAAUGG